CCAACACCCUAGUGAGGCCAAGGGGUGAGCGUAGUCCUCACCCCUCAUCAAGGAAACUUCCCUUGGCAACUGACAUCGAUCAUUACAGAAAACUGCAACCAAUCAAAUUGCAGUUGUACAGCCCAAUCCCAGCAGAUACAGCUACAAAACAACUCUUGCAACUAAGCUCAGGGAUCGUUGUGAAGGAGAGAACGGGAAGAUUGUAAGAUCCAGGGAAUCAAGGAAUUUGCUAUGAGACAGUGUCUCCCAGAAGCUGCACAUCCAUGAAGUCUCUCCAAUAUAGCUGCCUAAAUGUGACCUGAGUAAUGACACCAGUCGCCAUGUUAACACGGAUGAGGGAAAGCCAGGGAGGCUACACCCCCACCUGCAGCCAACUAAGAAAUGCUGGGAUUGGGAAAAAUUGUCUUCCCCUAGGAAGAGCACUGCAGUUGUUAUCCCAUACCACGUGGUCAGCACUGAAAACAUAUAUAUACAACUAAUAUCAUACAGGCUGAGCCAAUUGCAUUUACACAUUUAGGAAUAUACAUAUACACUUUCAUGUGUGUAAUAACAACCAAAUUUUGUUUUGUUUUGUUUUUAAAAAGCUCAUGAAUUUGAAAGAAA
rnacentral:lncRNA from 1 species